UGUUAAUGGGGCAAAUGAGUGAAUUUCAGCAGUACAGAAAAUCUGCAGUGGAACCUGUGCUCUGGGUUGCAGGAGGGCAGACUCUUCUUUUGUAAACUGCUGAUCCAAUAGGCUCCUCUGGUUGGAUGCAUGGAGCUCUCUGGUGGCCAAGAGAUGUCAACGCAGUAAUUUCUGCACUUCCCAAACUAAACCCAAGAUCCAGGAGCCAAACCAGCACAUUCAAAGACCACUACUUACUUAUAGAUUACAUUUCUACCUCAUAACUGGUAGGUAAACAUCUGUCUCCAUUAUCCGUAUAAGUAGUUUGUGUGAGACAGAAUCCUCCACUCUACCCUUUAAAUUACUGAUAGAAUAGGCACUCUCUCAGACAUCAUGCCGUGUCAAAGUCACCAGUCUGUGCUUGGUUUUGUAAUGACACGGCAAUAAAUUUCUUGAUGUCUGCCAACUAACAUGGAACUCCCAAUCACACACCUGUUCCACAAGUCCACCACCAUGGAUGCAAGACGCCUUUAGGUUUAUACCCAGUGGGUUGUCAUAGCCCCAUAGAAUUAAAAAUAAAAUACAAAAGCCCUAGUAACAAGGAGCAUAAGCUCCAGGGAAGCUUUCAGAUAGCUGCUUGCUGAAAGAAAUGAUUAUUUGCUGAACCAACAGGGAAAAGCACCCCAGUCUUCAGAAUUUAGUGCAGAAGGCCCCUUCCAUUUCCCUUGGGCUGUCUUUUUCGGGGAUAGACAACUUGAAAUCCAACCUAAGUUUCAGACUCUCAUUGCCUCUGGGUAAUCGCCUAUGUUUCUAUGUUUGCAUCACACUGUGGCUUUAGCACAUCUGAUAGGGUGCUCAGCCAGUAUGUGUGUGGGGGACAUGUAUGUCAUGUGUUUGUAAUAGUAUGCAAUCACCCACCUGGCUAUACGGGAAUCUCUAACUUUUCAUUUAGGUAUAGUCCCUACCCACAACCAUAUUCUAAAUUCCUUGAAAAUAAUCUUGCAUGGCUUUUGAAGUCUUGAGAAAAUGCUACCUACCUAGAGGUGUUGUAAACAUAGGCACUAUUCAAAUGACCUUUUUGUUUGUUUGUUUGUUGUUUUGUUGGUCAUCCACAAAAGCAAAUAAUACCAGAAUUAUUUGGGGGCCCUAGACUCAGGGCUUUGUUUAUAGAAUAUUGCUCUACUUUUAACCUUUGUGGACGCACUGACAUUUGAAGAGGCCUGAGGAUUAGUGGAAAUUUACCCUGUGGAUAUUGCAGAGUGUCCCAUUUAGAGGUAAUUAAGGGGAAGAAAAGAACUAAAUUACACUCCCCAGAAGAAAUGCCAGUGGUUUGGUUAUUUUUACUUUUGUUGGAACUAAUGUACUUAGAAAUGUAUUCCUUCUGCCAUGUUUCACCAGUUGCAAAGGUACUUUAUGGCAUCAGAGAACUAGUAAAUAGGGUUCUGAGGAUACACUCACGCUCUGAAAUGUUCUCCAAAGCCAAAUUUGCAUAUUCUAUCAAAUUUAUUCAUGUUGAUGAUGUCUUAAAAUGCCUUUUCUUAGAUUUAUUUUUCUGUGUAUGAGUGUUUUUGCCUGCACAUAUGUCUGUGCAUCAUGUGAAUACCAACCAGGUGUCCAAAGGGACAUAGGAUCCCCUAAAACUGGAGUUACAGAUGAUUGUCAGCCACAUUACAGGUACUGGGAACCAAACCUGGGUCUUCUGCCAGAGCAGUCAGUGCUCUUAAAUGCUGACCCAUCCUUAUAGCCCUGACAGUAAGCUUUGAAAAAGAAAACAUUCACAAGAUAUCAAUUAAAAUAGCCUUAGGAAGUUUAAUACUCACAUAAGAAUUCAAAAUUAAGUGGCUUCUUUAUUUUUGACUUUGGCUUUCUUGAAAGAGGGUAUCACCUAUUUCACGGUUGACCUUGAACUCACUGUAUAGCCAAGGAUGAGCUCAAACUCCUAAUCCUACUGCUUCUACUUCCCAAGUGCAGAGAUCACAAGUGGGUAUCACCACACCUAGCAAAAUGACUUUUCAAAAAAUUGUUUAAGUUAUUAAUUAUUUAUGCCUGUUGUGUAUGUAUGUGUAUGCGUGCAUGUAUAUGUGAAUGUCAAGAAGGUGAGAGGAGAAUGAUAACCUAUAAAGCUGUAGUUAUAGGUAGUUUUGAGUCACAGGUCCUCUGAAAAAGUAGCAAGCACUCUUAAGUGCUGAGCCAUUUCUCCAGCUCUCUAAAUAAUUUUUUAAAUAUAGAACUGAAUCCCAAGUUCUCUGCUUUCUUCUGUAUCCAAGUGCUCCUGGAUUCCCAGUGGAAGAUGUGUGCAACUUCUAUUAGCAAUGAGCUGUAACCCUCUUACAUGGAGACUCAAUCUAAUUUGCUUCUGUAUAUACAACUCAUGGUUCACAAGGGAGACAGGAGUUUUGUUUAAAUAGAUUCGUGGUUGGACAUACUGAUGGAGGGAGGAAAUUAACUUAAGAAAGAAUGCAUAUGUGUCUCUGUAUCCAAAUAGAGUAUUCUUUUUCAGUUUCUAUUUGCAUACUCAUUUUUUUAAGAAGAAACUGCCAGGCCUCUUUUUUAUUUUAUUUAUUUAUUUAUUUAUUUAUUUAUUUAUUUAUGGUGGUGGUGGUGGUACACACCUUUAAUCCCAGAACUUGGAAGGCAGAAGCAGAUAGCCUGCCUGGUCUACACAGUGAGUUCCAGGACAGCAAGGUCUACACAGAAAAGCCCUGUCUCAGAAAGUAACCACCCCCACCCCCC
rnacentral:lncRNA from 1 species